rnacentral:rRNA from 1 species
AACGAACGCUGGCGGCAUGCCUAACACAUGCAAGUCGAACGAGACCUUCGGGUCUAGUGGCGCACGGGUGCGUAACGCGUGGGAACCUGCCCUUAGGUUCGGAAUAACUCCCCGAAAGGGGUGCUAAUACCGGAUAAUGUCUUCGGACCAAAGAUUUAUCGCCUUUGGAUGGGCCCGCGUUGGAUUAGCUAGUUGGUAGGGUAAAAGCCUACCAAGGCGACGAUCCAUAGCUGGUCUGAGAGGAUGAUCAGCCACACUGGGACUGAGACACGGCCCAGACUCCUACGGGAGGCAGCAGUGGGGAAUAUUGGACAAUGGGCGAAAGCCUGAUCCAGCAAUGCCGCGUGAGUGAUGAAGGCCUUAGGGUUGUAAAGCUCUUUUACCCGGGAUGAUAAUGACAGUACCGAGAGAAUAAGCUCCGGCUAACUCCG